rnacentral:rRNA from 1 species
AGUGAACGCUGGCGGUAGGCCUAACACAUGCAAGUCGAACGGCAGCACAGUAAGAGCUUGCUCUUACGGGUGGCGAGUGGCGGAUGGGUGAGGCAUACAUCGGAAUCUACUUUUUCGUGGGGGAUAACGUAGGGAAACUUACGCUAAUACCGCAUAUGAUCUACGGGUGAAAGCAGGGGAUCUUCGCACCUUGCGCGAUUGAAUGAGACGAUGUCGGAUUAGCUAGUUGGUGGGGUAAAGGCCCACCAAGGCGACGAUCCGUAGCUGGUCUGAGAGGAUGAUCCGCCACACUGGAAAUGAGACACGGUCCCGAAUCCUAAGGGAGGCCGCAGUAGGGAAUAUUUGGCCAUGGGGGGAAGCCUGAAGCAGCCCUGCCGCGUGAGUGAAGAAGGGCUUCGGGUUGUAAAACCCUUUUAUUAGGGAAGAAAAACCGGGGGAUUAAACCCCCCCAUUUUGACGGUAACCAAAAAAAAAGCCACGGCUAACUUCGUG